CCCUUAGAGUUUGAUCAUGGCUCAGAUUGAACGCUGGCGGCAGGCCUAACACAUGCAAGACGAGCGGUAGAGAGAAGCUUGCUUCUCUUGAGAGCGGCGGACGGGUGAGUAAUGCCUAGGAAUCUGCCUGGUAGUGGGGGAUAACGUUCGGAAACGGACGCUAAUACCGCAUACGUCCUACGGGAGAAAGCAGGGGACCUUCGGGCCUUGCGCUAUCAGAUGAGCCUAGGUCGGAUUAGCUAGUUGGUGAGGUAAUGGCUCACCAAGGCGACGAUCCGUAACUGGUCUGAGAGGAUGAUCAGUCACACUGGAACUGAGACACGGUCCAGACUCCUACGGGAGGCAGCAGUGGGGAAUAUUGGACAAUGGGCGAAAGCCUGAUCCAGCCAUGCCGCGUGUGUGAAGAAGGUCUUCGGAUUGUAAAGCACUUUAAGUUGGGAGGAAGGGUUGUAGAUUAAUACUCUGCAAUUUUGACGUUACCGACAGAAUAAGCACCGGCUAACUCUGUGCCAGCAGCCGCGGUAAUGCAGAGGGUGCAAGCGUUAAUCGGAAUUACUGGGCGUAAAGCGCGCGUAGGUGGUUUGUUAAGUUGGAUGUGAAAUCCCCGGGCUCAACCUGGGAACUGCAUUCAAAACUGACUGACUAGAGUAUGGUAGAGGGUGGUGGAAUUUCCUGUGUAGCGGUGAAAUGCGUAGAUAUAGGAAGGAACACCAGUGGCGAAGGCGACCACCUGGACUAAUACUGACACUGAGGU
rnacentral:rRNA from 1 species